rnacentral:lncRNA from 1 species
UAAAAUUUGUAAGCUGUGAUGUAACAUUGAGUGGAACAAUGAAUGAGUCUGUCCCUCUCAUUUGCCAGCUCUGCAAGCAGGGACCAUGAUUUACCAAAUUGAAACUUCAUAUUACCAUAUAUGAUCAGUCCAUCCAAGACAGAAGAUGAGAAUGAGAGUCUUGAUAGAAUUAAAAAGAAAAAGUCCCAUGUUGCUUUUGCUAUCUUCCACAGCUGUGAACUGUUGCUCCUCUGCCAUCCUGCCUUGGAGUAAGCAAACUAUGAACUAAAACUUCUACUAAAUGAUUUAAACAAGGAAGAUAAAAAUGUGCACUGCAUUCACAAUAUGAAAAAUCACGAGUGAGGACAAGAGCUGCCCGCAGCACAGAGGGG